AAUAAACGCUAGUGGUAUGCAUAACACAUGCAAGUUGAAUGAAUCAAUAUAAAAAUUGAAUCAUAGCGUACGGGUGAGUAAUACAUGGGAAUUACUGUUAAAAUUCAGAAUAAUUAUUUAUUAAAUAAAAAUACUGAAUAAAUCAUAAAGAGUUUAUCUCGUUUUAACAAGAGCCUAUGGAAGAUUAGGUAGUUGGUAAGGUAAAAGCUUACCAAGCCGAUGAUCUUUAGCUGGUUUGAGAGGAUGAUCAGCCACACUGGGACUGAAACACGGCCCAG
rnacentral:rRNA from 1 species